rnacentral:rRNA from 1 species
UACGGGAGGCAGCAGUGGGGAAUAUUGCACAAUGGGCGCAAGCCUGAUGCAGCCAUGCCGCGUGUAUGAAGAAGGCCUUCGGGUUGUAAAGUACUUUCAGUCGUGAGGAAGGUGUUAAGGUUAAUAACCUUAGCAAUUGACGUUAGCGACAGAAGAAGCACCGGCUAACUCCGUGCCAGCAGCCGCGGUAAUACGGAGGGUGCGAGCGUUAAUCGGAAUUACUGGGCGUAAAGGGCACGCAGGCGGUUAAUUAAGUUGGAUGUGAAUCCCCGGGCUUAACCUGGGAAUGGCAUUCAAGACUGGUUAGCUAGAGUCUUGUAGAGGGGGUAGAAUUCCAUGUGUAGCGGUGAAAUGCGUAGAGAUGUGGAGGAAUACCGGGUGGCGAAGGCGGCCCCUGGGACAAAGACUGACGCUCAUGUGCGAAAGCGUGGGGAGCGAAACAGGGAUUAGAUACC